AGAUUGAGAUUAAAUCAAAGAAGAAAAAAAUAGUUCACUGAUUUUAAUUUGUUUUCUACUCUCUUGUAUCUCUCUCACAUGUAUAUGCAUAGAAGAAGGGGAAGAAGAAGAAGAGGAGGAAGGACAUCAUAGAGUCACAUCCACGGGAAGAGGCGUAGUUUAAUUUCUUGAAGAAUUUGAAAGAUAAGUACAAUUUUAAUUUGUUUUGUACUCUCUGUGUAUCUCUCUAAUGCCGAAAUCUCACAUGCAUAUGCAUAGGAGAAGGGGAAGAAGAAGAACAAUAACAAGGAAUCACAUCCACGGGAAGGUGUAGUUUAAUUUCUUGAAGAAUUUGAAAGAUAAGUACAGAACUAGUUUAUAUUAUACACGUUUUACCAUUUACAUGUAUAUAUAUAUUCAGAAUAUUCACAGACACACACAUAAUAACUAAAUGCCUCUUCUCCUCUCGAUGCUUUGUCAAAUCACUCUUCGAUUCAUACUUGAUCGAACACGUUGGGCAAGCGUGAUGUUUUCCAUGAUGCUUCAUUAGAUGCUUGACUAGGGCAUUCUCAUUCUUGCACUUCUUCUCACAUAAUGAACAGGGAAAUUGGGUUUGGCUUUCAUCUUUGUUUUCCAUCCAGAUAAACUGAUUAUCAAAGUUUAGUUUGAAGAAGAAGAAACCUAAAGGAAUUGAAACAAAUGGGGAAGGGGGGUGGGUAUUUAUUUUGCUUUGGGGCAACAAAAUGAUUAUACCUACCUAGUUAUAGUUAUAUGAUCAGGGGACUAAAGGUGUUCAACACAAGAGACAAGAUCAACCUCAUUGUACACAUAUUAACUAACCACUUUGCUCUUUGUCCCCCUCAAGUCUCCAACUCUAACUUCUAUUUCCCUUUUACUGCAGUAUUUGCAACCCCAUUUCCUAAUUAAUACAAUAAAACACCCAACCCUUAUCAUUAUAUCAAAUGACAUUUAUUCCUUUCACACCUUUCCUAUUUUUGACCCAAUCAAACUUUGGUUUCAAAAUUUGGUUAAUGAAAUUUAUCACAACAAUAAGUUCAUAUUACUCAUUAAUUACUAUAUUCUUGUUACUACAAGAAAAGUUCACUUCUAGUGACAAUUUUUUUAGUGGCAGUAGCCAAAAUAUGUCACUAAAUUCUAACUUCAAGUGAACAUAUUAUAGUGACAGGGCGCAAACUAGCAAACGUUUCAGCAACGUGUUAAUUUGCGUCAAAAAAGUUAAUAACCUUUACUGAACAAUCUUUUUCCUAAAAGUAAAAAGAAUGAAAUGUGAAGUGAACAGAAAGGAAAAGCUUUUAAUUUCCCUCCUCCUCUUUGUUUCCUCUUCCUCCAAUGUCUCUGCCGCCCCUAAAUUCAAAGAAGAGGGAGAGAAUGUCCAAGUUCAACUUGCCAAAUUUCCCUCGAGUGGUGAUACAGAUAAGAAUAUGGCAAAGAUGCAGUUAUGUUCUCUUGGAUCUCUUAUAUAUAGGUUUACAUUUUGUUUUUAAUUGAUUUUUCUGCUUCGGGAUCAUCUAGGUUUCGUCGGCAGUUAGGUUUACUUGAUGUUUAAAAUGCGAGUAGCAUGUAGCCAUUUGGUCAGGAUAUCAUCAGUUGAUUGACAUGAGUAGACUUUGAACUAGUUCUUUAUUUAGUUUCUUCAAUAGAAUAUUUACAAAUUCCCAAUGCCUCUUCCAAAUAUUUUUCUUUUGAAUGUGGUGUGGCUUUAAGAUAGGGUUAUCCAAUUUUCUUCAUCCUUUUCUGUGAGAAAUCACUGACCCCAUUUGGCUAGUAAAGCACUAUUGUUUCUUAGUGAGGUUGCUGAUACCCAAGCCUCCCACUUCAGUUGGAGAGAUGUAGUAAUUUCCCAAUUAAUCAUAUUAGUGACCCCAAACUUCUUACUACCUUUUCAAAAGAAGUUUCUAAUAAGUUUGUAUAGCCAAUUAAUCACAUUAUUGGGACAAGCAAACAUCGAGAAACAGUAAAGAUGGAUGUUAGUAACAACGUUCUUCAAGUGAUUGAAUAAGGCUGUUAGCAAGCUUCUCGGGGACGCAGAAAAUUUCCAUACAGAUGACUGUCAUAGUGUCUCGUAUAGCAAAGAUGUUCGUUGGUGAACUUGUAGAAACAGCAAGACAAGAGUUUGUCAUGACAGAGCGGAAUGAUUUGGGACCUACCAGGCCAUGUCAUCUUAGAGAGGCAUAUAGAAGACUAGAGCUUGAAUGUAAGAUUGUACGGAAAUCAGUGCCGAGGUUUUUUUGCGAAAUCAUUAUGUUUAACUUAUAAUAAUCUUUGCAUUAGCCAUUAGGGCUUUUUGGAAGAAAAAUUCAAUACUAAAGCAUCAAACUUAGGUAAAACAUCUCCUAUAUUUUCAACGAA